rnacentral:snoRNA from 1 species
AACGAGCGGAGAGUGGUUGGCGCGCUGUGCGUGUGCGGGUGGGUGGGGGUGGUGUGCGGGGUGCGUGCGUUUGUGUGCGUGCGUUUGUGUGCGUGGUGCGAGCGCGUGCCGCCCUCUCCCUACACAUUGAUCUUAUUCGAUCGGCCCCGGCCGAGAUGAGAAGAACGGAGCCGCGAAGCCGCGGGCGCUGUGCGGCGGGCGGGCGGGAUGAGUCGAUCAGAUAGGCGAGGCCUGGCCCCGGCCGGCCCUUGAGCGCAGGGGAUUCUGAUCCGC